AGCCGGGCUCUGCGGAUUCUGAGGCUGCUCUGGGCUCUGCCAGGGCUCUGCUGGGCUCAGCCCCAAGCAUGGCUGGGCUUGCUCUGCCCUCCCAUUGCUCUGACAGCUUUCCACCAGACGAGCCCGUUCCCAGCACACCGCCUGAGCUUUCUGCUUUUACAGAAGUGCCACUGCUGUGAUCCUGAGGCGGUGCAGUCUGGAGCUGAUGGAUGAAGAAGAAUUGCCCUUCUGCACUUCCAAGCCAGAGCCAAAAGCUCAGAAAACAUGCUGUAAAAAAGGCAUGUCCUUUGCUCCUGGUUCCUGUGUGGAGCAGCUCCCUUCCUGCUGGCUGAGCUGCUCAGGUAGAGCCCGGCAGCUCCCCGCCCUGCAGGGCAGAGGCUUUUCCCCGUUGCUGGGCACAGACUGAUGGAGCAGCAGUGCUGAACACGGGCACACGCAGAGGGGCCAGAGCAGCUGCCUUUGUCCACCUGAAGCUCCAAGGCCAAACUCUGAGCAGGCACGGCUGGAAGAGACUCGCAGGCUCCCUGUUGGCUCUGCUGCCCCACUUGUGCCCGGCCCAGCUCUGUGUGAGGCAGAGGGAGAACAAGGGGCAGCUCCCUCC